rnacentral:rRNA from 1 species
UACGUAGGCAGCAAGCGUUGUUCGGAGUUACUGGGCGUAAAGGGUGUGUAGGCGGUUUUCCAAGUUUGGUGUGAAAUCUCCCGGCUUAACCGGGAGGGUGCGCCGAAAACUGGCAGACUAGAGUGUGGGAGGGGAAAGUGGAAUUCCUGGUGUAGCGGUGAAAUGCGUAGAUAUCGGGAGGAACACCGGUGGCGAAGGCGGGAUCCUGGGCCAGUACUGACGCUGAGGAGCGAAAGCGUGGGGAGCAAACAGG